rnacentral:rRNA from 1 species
UAAACCUGGUUGAUCCUGCCAGUAGUCAUAUGCUUGUCUCAAAGAUUAAGCCAUGCAUGUCUAAGUAUAAAUAAGUCUAUACUGUGAAACUGCGAAUGGCUCAUUAAAUCAGUUAUAGUUUACUUGAUAGUUCCUUACUACAUGGAUACCUGUGGUAAUUCUAGAGCUAAUACAUGCAUAAAAGCCCGACUUCU